rnacentral:rRNA from 1 species
AACGCAAAUUGCGCUCGAGGCUUCGGACGAGAGCAUGCCUGCCUCAGUGUCGGUUUCACCCUCGCUCCCCCUUCUAUUGAGUGGGUAGAGCGGACCUGGCUGUCUCGGUCUCCACAGGCCGGGUCAGCUGAAGCGCAGAGGCUUGAGCGGGAUCCCCUUUGACGUGGGAACAACAGACCGGUAGGUGAGCCCUUCCAUCGGAAGGAUCGCAUGCCGCUGCUGGACCCCGGGACCCGCUGGACGCCCAGCAGGAGACGGUGUUUGUGGCUCAACCGCCUCGACACCGCAACCAAACCAUUCGACCUGAGUUCAGGCAAGGGCACCCGCUGAACUUAA